rnacentral:rRNA from 1 species
CCUACGGGGGGCAGCAGUGGGGAAUAUUGCACAAUGGGGGAAACCCUGAUGCAGCAACGCCGCGUGAGUGAAGAAGUCAUUCGUGAUGUAAAGCUCUAUCAGCAGGGAAGAAAAUGACGGUACCUGAGUAAGAAGCCCCGGCUAACUACGUGCCAGCAGCCGCGGUAAUACGUAGGGAGCGAGCGUUGUCCGGAAUUACUGGGUGUAAAGGGAGCGUAGGCGGGGAUGCAAGUUGGGUGUCAAAACUACCGGCUCAACUGGUAGUCGCACUCAAAACUGCAGCUCUUGAGUGAAGUAGAGGCAGG